rnacentral:rRNA from 1 species
AUACAGAGGGUGCGAGCGUUAAUCGGAAUUACUGGGCGUAAAGCGCGCGUAGGCGGCUACUUAAGUCAGAUGUGAAAUCCCCGGGCUCAACCUGGGAACUGCAUCUGAUACUGGGUAGCUAGAGUUUUGGAGAGGGAAGUAGAAUUUCAGGUGUAGCGGUGAAAUGCAUAGAGAUCUGAAGGAAUACCAGUGGCGAAGGCGACUUCCUGGCCUAAAACUGACGCUGAGGUGCGAAAGCGUGGGUAGCAAACGGGAUUAGAAACCCCAGUAGUCC